GGCUGCACUGGGAUACUCUGGAGGCUUUUGACUGGCUUUCUACUCUUCUACAUUUUCUGUUGCCAUAGUUGAGACUGUGUCCUAAGCUAGCUCAGCUUCUAGUCAAACUGUCAACGUUUAGUGCACAUAAGAAUCUCUUGGGGACAUUUUGCAGAUCCCUAGACUUCAUCCCCCAAGGAUUCUGAUUUAUAUGGAGCCUCAGAGUUGACUUUUUAAAAUAAUAAUCCCCAGGUUAUAUCAUCAUUUUUGAGAAGCAUAGAGCUAGGGUAAAUAUAAGAACCCUUAGAUUGUCAGCUCAGUGAUUUUCCACGAAAGUAACCUUGCUAUGGGUUCAGCAGCGAUCAUCUUCCUGGAUUCAGAUUCUGGGCUCUUAUUUCUUCCUUGUGAGAAAAUACUUGCUUUUCGCCCCAAUGUUGACCCUUGUCUUGUAACUACUUCCCCCCCAACACACACCUCUCAGAAACUGGGAACUUGGCACUGAAUCCCAGUCCAUUAUGACUAGGUUCAUGUUCUCUGUACUCAAGAUAUGGAGUUCUGGACCCAGAAUAAAGUAAGGGGCAGGUAAUUGAUUAGAUGAAGAUGCAAAGGCAGAAUGUCUGAUUUGGUGUGGCAUCUCUGGUGUGAUAAAAAUUGAACCAGAAACAAAGUAAUUGAACCACUGGCACCAUCCCUGCAAGUUGUUUUCCUUGAAUUUUUCUUCAUUACUCAAAUUGCUCUUUGGGUUGCUAGCUCAUUUGACCCUUAUUUUUGGUUUUAUGGCUCUGGAUUUUGAAUGUGUAAACUCCCUGACUCUCUGGCCUGACCCUGUACCACAUCUAGACUAUGUCCUAGUUUAAUGUUCUGUCAUGUAUUCCUAUUGAAAACUGAUAUAAUGAUAAUAAUUAUGGUGGUCCUGCUACUAAUACUACUAAAUAUCUGUAGGGUACAUAUUAUCAAUAUAUGUUUUACAUUCACAGCAAAUAUCUGAAGUAAGUCCUAUUUUUAUUCCAAGCUUUAAAUAAAGAAACUGAGGUUAGAGUUAUACAGCUGUUAAGAGGCUGAGCCAGAAAGGAUAUGCAGGCAGUCUCACUCCCGGAGCUGUGCUCUCGUCAAGCACAUUACAUUGUUCAUUUCCAUCGCUACUAUACCUGCCAUUGCUCACUGAGUGACAAAGAAGUCUCCAAAAAUCUUCCUUUUUCUUUAAUGUAUAUGGUAAAUGGAGAUAGGGGAUGAAAGUUCCCAAUAAUUCCUUUCUGGAACUCCUUGAGCACCACUGAAUUUCAACAAAAUUUUUCCCCCAAAGAGCAUUUUUGAAACCAUGACAUUCCCUGUUAUCUCUCCUAACUAGUGAGAUCAUCCCAAUGAUUCUGGGGGGGCUUCAUUGCAUUUUAUCAGUGGCGCCUUUGUUGUACAAUUUCCACUUUUGCUCUUGAAGAUACAAUAAAAGAUUUAUGCCUGAUGGACUAUGAUGUGGUUUGCAUCUAAGAGAAAAACAAUUCCUUCCAAAAAAAUACCAUAUCCCCAAAUGAUUUCAUAAUUGCAAACAGUGUUGACGAGCUCUUUGGCUUAAAUCAGUUUAUAACAUAUUUGCUGUGUUUUUGUGUAGAUAUGUUUUGAUGUGCUUGCUAAGGAAAAAUAAUUAAAACCCCUCUGCCAUUUCUAAUUGAGAAGAAAGAAAUGUAACCCAUUAGUUGAUGUCUACCAUAAUAAGAUUUUUUUCUCCCUCAUUUCAUUCCAGAUUUGUUUCAAGGAUUAACUUGCAUUAAAUGGUUUCAGGUCUGAACGUCAACCAUGUUUCUCAUUAUUGGAGAUCAAAAUGGCUUAAUUCCCUUUGUGUGUUGGUGCCACUAAAACACAAGGGAAUCUUAGAACUACAAACCUCUGAUAGAAGCACCACAUUUUCCUCGUCAAUCUGCCCAGCAGAGCUUGUGUUUUUCCUCCAUUUACUGCUGGAAAAAUGCUGUGUGCUGACAAGUUUUGGGGUUCUGGUGUCAUGCACAAGCUAGGCAAGACUUCCUUUGAAUCUAGUUACUGUUGUAUUUUCAAAUAUGUUGAUGUGAACUUUGCUUUUUAAUGCUCCUUGAGUCAACUAUUGUCUUUGAUCUUUAAACAGAAUGUGGCCAUCCAUCUAGUGGAUUGGUAAAGGACUAGCAUCGAGGUUAAUCCAGGGGCCUCUGGAUUUAAACAGACCUGACUUUAAAUUCUCAUUCCACCACUAGCUAUAUAACCUGGAUCAGUUUUGAAAACUUGCCUUGUCUGUAAAAUGGAGCUAAUGAUAGUACCUAUUUAUUGGCUGUAGAGUGGCAUACAAGAGCGCAUGCAUGUUAAAACAUUGCCGAGCAAAGGAGGACGUGUUAAGUGACCAGUUAGUUCUAUUGUUACCCUAUUGUAGAGACUAUUACCCAGAGUGUUGUAUUACCCAGGAGGAGUUGGAGUCUCAUUCCCCGUCUGGUAUCUGGGUUGGCCUCAGUGACUUGAUUAGGCAACAGAUUGUGGCAAAGGGGACAUUCUGGGACUUCUAAGGCUGAGUAAUAAGAAGCCUGGCAGCUUUUGUCUGGGUGUCUUGGAAUGCUUGCUCUGGGGAAAAUCAGCUGCAUGCUGUGAGAAGCUCAAGCCACAUAGAAAGGCCAUCGAUAGGAGCUCAGGUUGACAGCCCCAGCUGAGCUCCUGGUUGUCAGGCCAGCCAUGUGAGUGAGUCAUCUUGGAUGUGCAGCCUUGAAAAGGCAAGAGUUGAUUUCAAGGCUUUUGGAGAUUCUCUUUCAGUUCUAGCAUUUCCUUGUGACCUUGCUAAACUUGGUUAUCUGGUUGAUUCAAGCUAAACAAUUAGACACAAAGAGAGAAUUUUGGGGGGCACGGGAGCAUAAGGGCAAUAAAGAGUACCCCUUUCCUCUGCUCAAGAUCUGAACCGACGGAGAGAGAAGACCAAGGAGUAAGGGAGAUGGAGACCGAAAUAUCGCUUUUAUGAGCAUGAAGACUGGGCAUGUGUCUAUGGUUUCCUCAUGGAGAACCCCAGAAGGAAUUAGGUUUAUCUUUUCAACUGGCCCGGGGCACUGACCUCACUCUAGAGGAGCAAAGAACCUGACAGCCUGCUCUCAAGAGGAGAUGUCUGGGGUCUUCAUGCUCAUCUCAGACUCACCAGUCAAGGGGAAGGGGCUGAGGUGUGGAGUGGAGCCCUCCACCUGGAAGGAAACAUCGGGAAUGGGAAUGGGUGCUCCUCUGACAGGACUGUCUACCUCAGUAUCUACUGAGUUCAAGAAGUAAGUGACCCAAGUUUUAUUUUGUGAAGACACAGUUUAUGGUGACAGAUUCAGACUGAGGCAUUUCACUUUACUCUUAGGUUAAAUUGGUUUGUAUCAAUGAUCCCAUUCUUUUCUUCUAAGUCCAGAGAGUCCUGGUAACAUCAAGUCCCAUGUAUUUACAAAGAUGGAAUUAAGUAAAGAACCUUCCUUCAAUCAUUCUCUCUUCCAUCUUUCCCUAACUACUUUCAAUUUAUGACCCUAACAAUGAAUCUUAAAUAAACUGCUUCAAAGUCUUCAGCCUAAAGGAACUGAUGGGAUGGUAUUAGCAAUCACACCGUUGAUCGUGAAGUUAAGGAUGAAGGUUCAAUUUUAGCGUGCCUUAGCUUUAAAUGGAGGUAAGUUGUUUUAUUAUUACAAGACUUGGCGCCCUUGCCCUUGCCCGGCUAUUUAACAAAUGUGUGUCCUUGUUUACCAGUGGAACCCAACUAGGGGGUAUAAAUAGCUGAGUGUGAGCCUCAAUGACUGCACUUCAAACAACUCCAAGCACGUGUCCUAUCGACGGGGUGUGGAGAACGCAGGCAGCGCAAUCAGGAUGCAGAUGCUCUGAGUGAACACUUUUGGUUGUUGACAUCAAACUCUGAGUUAUAAGAACACCUGUCAAAGGCCUGUUGGAAAGUUCCUUGAAACCAGGUGGAUCGGACUGGCCCUUUAGUCCAGUUGUAGAUGCCCACUGUGGGCAGACUGAGGAAGCGACCCUCUUACCAGGGUGUGCUUGAACAAGGCCCAGGACACUAAAAAAAAAAAAAAAAAUCUUGCAAUUACACUUUUCUACCACUAGAUGAUAUGCACGUAUAAGCAAGAUGAAAACCCUCCUACCUUUCCUUUCUGCAUCAGUGGCCACAGUGAUGAUAGGGGCCAUCAAAGUUUACCACCUGCCUAUGGGCCAAAUCCAGUUUACCACCUCUCUUUGUAAAUAAAGUUUUAUUGGAACACAGCCAUGCUCAUUUGUCUGGGACUGAUUUUGCUCCACAAUGACAGAGAUAAAGAAAGUGAUUAAGGACACAAUGAAUCUUGGCACAUACGUUACAUGACUGUAGCAGACAUACAUGACAAAGGCUAGUUUAGGUAACUAACUGCCUCAGAGUCAUACAUCAUGAGGCGGAGAGGGGAGAAUCAGGAACUGGGUGAACCAACUUAAUCCUUUGUCCCACAUGAAGAGAUGGGACCGUACUGCCUAGAUUCCAAGGGUUUUCCACAUGGACAUGCCCCAAGCUCCUUCUCUCCCCUUCCUUUGCUCCAAGAAGACCUCUUCUAUUAUUUGUCCACAUUUUGAUGUCCUCUUUUCUUAGGAUAGAUACCCCAUCAUCCCUACAGAAAAGGAAGGUGCACUGGACUGUUCCUUCCACUCAAUCUUUGUUGACUCUAAGAAAGGAGCAGACCAUCAACUGGUGUUAGCCCAUCAGUCAUCACCAUUCUCAGCUCAGCCGCCAGGAGAUGAAUGAGUUAGAUUCAACUGUCAUUGAAGCCCUUCGAUAGACAUCACCUCACUCAGAGGUCACAGC